CCCGCUGAACUUAAGCAUAUCAAUAAGCGGAGGAAAAGAAACUAACAAGGAUUCCCCUAGUAACUGCGAGUGAAGCGGGAAAAGCUCAAAUUUGAAAUCUGGCAGCUCUUUGAACUGUCCGAGUUGUAAUCUAGAGAAGUGUUACCUGUGCUGGACCGUGUACAAGUCUCCUGGAAUGGAGCGUCACAGAGGGUGAGAAUCCCGUCUUUGACAUGGACUGCCUGCACGUUAUGGUGCGCUUUUCAAAGAGUCGAGUUGUUUGGGAAUGCAGCUCAAAAUGGGUGUAAAAUGCCAUCUAAAGCUAAAUAUUGGCGAGAGACCGAUAGCGAACAAGUACCGUGGAGGAAAGAUGAAAAGAACUUUGGAAAGAGAGUUAAACAGUACGUGAAAUUGCUGAAAGGGAAACGCUUGAAGUCAGUCGCGUCUGCUAGAAAUCAACCUCGCUUUUGCUUGGUGUACUUUCUUGUUUGACGGGUCAGCAUCAAUUUUGACCAUUGGAUAAAGUCGUUGGGAAUGUGGCAUCUUAGGAUGUGUUAUAGCCCAUUGUCGCAUACGGUGGUUGGGAUUGAGGAACUCAGCACGCCCGCAAGGGACGGGUUUCGACCACGUUCGUGCUUAGGAUGCUGGCAUAAUGGCUUUAAUCGACCCGUCUUGAAACACGG
rnacentral:rRNA from 1 species